rnacentral:sRNA from 1 species
GCUGGGCCUGGUGGUGCGCGCCUGUAAUCCCAGCAGCUUGGGAGGCUGAGGCAGGAGGAUCACGAGUUCAAAGCCAGCCUUGGCAACUUAAUGAGGCUCUAGGCAGCAAGACCCUGUCUCCA